AAUAGUUCAGUAAUCGAAUCGAUAAGACAUUCUGUUUGUAUCGUUCACGAUAGAAACUUUUGUGCUAUACACAUACACAAAUAUGUUUAGUACAUUAAUACAAAACGAAGCUAUGCACAAUUAAAGUGUGUUCCACUAACCUAAAUCUGGUGGUGAACCGUGCGUUGUCUACAAGGAAGAAAUCCAACAAGGCAAACAGCAACUGUUAAAAAUGUUAAAAACAGGAGGAGGAGAAGGAGAAUCGACUAAAGCUAACGAUACCGAAAUGAUUAAAGUUGAAAUAAGUAGCUAAACGAAAUACCAACAAGUAACAUGUAUAGUGUCUUAACAGAAAAAAGAAAUUCAACAAUGGUUACAAUAAUAUUGUUAAUAAUACUUAGACUGUUAGUUUCGCCUAGUUACAUACAGGCACAAUUAUAGCUCCUCCUCACUGGAACUACUUUAAAUAAAAAUAAGAAACGACAAUUACAGACUAAACACCUACAGCAAAAUCGAUUAAAAGAUACAGAUUGAAUCUCUGGAAAAUUAUAGCAAAAUAAUUAGCAUUUUUAAGGGAUAGAAAUGUUAAUUUCCACACAUCAAAAGCCUAAUCAAAUUGAAGCCACAGAAUGGUACUAAGAGACACUUGCUCAAAAGCAAAUACUGAUAAAAUAACUAAUGAAUUAAAAAAUAUCAAAAUCCAUAUAUAUAAAUAUGAUACCUCCUCUUCCUUUAUUGUCCAUGCAGCUCUAAAGACAAUAACAAAAAAUCUGUAAGCUAAACACAAUAAUAAGGUUUGAACUAUUCAGGUUAAAACGUGAAUAUCUCAAUGCUUUCAUUGUCAAACAUAGGGUCAUACAAGAAAUUACAGAUUGCUUGCUUGUGUAAAUGUGGAGGAUGUUACUUGACAUCAAAGUGUCAACAAAGAAAGUUUGAAAAUAGGAAAUGCUACUGCAACUGUCAAAGAAGUCACUCGACAAGCUACAUAAUUUAGAAGGAACUUCGAAAAAAACUACAUUCAAUCUUGUGAUAC